CAGUCGAGCGAGCGGAACAACAGAUUUACUUCGGUAAUGACGUUGGGAAAGCGAGCGGCGGAUGGGUGAGUAACACGUGGGGAACCUGCCCCUAAGUCUGGGAUACCAUUUGGAAACAGGUGCUAAUACCGGAUAAUAAAGCAGAUCGCAUGAUCAGCUUUUGAAAGGCGGCGUAAGCUGUCGCUAAGGGAUGGCCCCGCGGUGCAUUAGCUAGUUGGUAAGGUAACGGCUUACCAAGGCGACGAUGCAUAGCCGAGUUGAGAGACUGAUCGGCCACAUUGGGACUGAGACACGGCCCAAACUCCUACGGGAGGCAGCAGUAGGGAAUCUUCCACAAUGGACGCAAGUCUGAUGGAGCAACGCCGCGUGAGUGAAGAAGGUUUUCGGAUCGUAAAGCUCUGUUGUUGGUGAAGAAGGAUAGAGGUAGUAACUGGCCUUUAUUUGACGGUAAUCAACCAGAAAGUCACGGCUAACUACGUGCCAGCAGCCGCGGUAAUACGUAGGUGGCAAGCGUUGUCCGGAUUUAUUGGGCGUAAAGCGAGCGCAGGCGGAAAAAUAAGUCUAAUGUGAAAGCCCUCGGCUUAACCGAGGAACUGCAUCGGAAACUGUUUUUCUUGAGUGCAGAAAAGGAGAGUGGAACUCCAUGUGUAGCGGUGGAAUGCGUAGAUAUAUGGAAGAACACCAGUGGCGAAGGCGGC
rnacentral:rRNA from 1 species